rnacentral:piRNA from 1 species
UAAUGUAAUGAAACGUCCAAGGAUGGGCAACU